UUUAGAUGUGAUCAGUGACGCUCACCUGGGUCUGUGUGAGGCCCAGAGAAGCGGCGAGCUCGGCUCUUUCAGGCAGCGCCAGGUACUGUGUCUUCUGGAAGCGCCUCUGCAGCGCGGCCAGCUGGAAACUCGAGUAAAUCGUCCUCGGUUUGCGCACCUUCUUUGGCUUUCCGUUCACCAUCCGGAUUUCAGAUAACCUCUGUCACUUCUGAUCAUAUCACAAGAUGGUGGCGUGGGGAAAUACAAUCGCCUGUUUUCGAUCAGAAUCAUGGCAACUUUCAUAAAAAAUCCAUCAAACAUCUUUAAACAUGAUCAUUACAUGGAGUCAACAGGAAAUCUUUUGGUGGAGACGGUGGGGACCUCGACUGGCUAUCGUAGCCUGCAGGGAAUCGGCCGUCAGACAUUCUGUCGCAUGUCCCAGACCCGGUGAAAUGUAACUGAAUUGUCUUGGCCAGGCCUAAGAGUCCCUCCUGCAUUGCUGAGGAGUGUGCUCCCAUCACCCAAUCAAGCAUCCAGCCAGAGCAGGUCAUGAUAUAUUUUUUACCAUAUUAACAUGCCAUUGUGCGUCAUGCCUGAUGUAAAGACUCUCGUCUCUGCAAGCCUACCACACAGAUUUAAUACUUGUCAUUUUUAGGGCAUACCUAACAACGUGUUUUCUUUCUCUCUCUCUCCCCCCCCCCCAUCUGUCCCUCUGAGUUACAUGUUGAUCCUGGGAUUGAGAUGCUGGCCUCUUCUGCCCCUCGGACCUGCUUGAUCCAUCCUGGUGCCCUGUGUCUGGUCGGAGUUUUAUUGCCCCACUCCUGUGAAGGACGGCCCCAUGAGGACAGUUGAGGGUUAUACCUGUUAAAACUGUUAAUAUUAUAGUCAGGCUGUCUGU